CUUUUUCUUCUCUCUUUUUGCUUGGUUAUCAGUCAACCAUUUUGGAUGAUGCCUCAAUAUAUUCCAACAGUGUUCAAAAGUAAAUUUUGUUUUGAACAUUUCCUUGUACAGAGCCUUUGCAUUCAUAAUAUAAAAUAAUUCAUUUUAAUUUAUAAACAAAUAAAAUGACAAAACUAAUUGAUUUGUUUAAUUAAUUAAAAUAGAUACCUUGUCUUGUUCAUUCACGCCACUUUGUUGUCUAUUUUCAAUUUGGGAAAAACAGCCAUGAAAUUUGUUGGUGGCUUGCUGUAUCUUUGACCAACGCUGCAUCAAUGAUUUUUCAUCCCUUUCAGAUUCAAAAUUCUUGUAUUUGUG
rnacentral:lncRNA from 1 species